CCUACGGGUGGCUGCAGUGAGGAAUAUUGGUCAAUGGGCGCGAGCCUGAACCAGCCAAGUAGCGUGAAGGAUGACUGCCCUACGGGUUGUAAACUUCUUUUAUAAAGGAAUAAAACGAGGCACGUGUGCCUUUUUGCGUGUACUUUAUGAAUAAGGAUAGGAUAACUCCGUGCCCGCAGCCGCGGUAAUACGGAGGAUCCGAGCGUUAUCAGGAUUUAGUGGGUUUAAAGGGAGCGUAGAUGGGUUGUUAAGUCAGUUGUGAAAGUUUCCGGCUCAACCGUAAAAUUGCAAUGGAUACUGGCAGUCUUGAGUGCAGGUGAGGUAGGCGGAAUUCGUGGUGUAGCGGUGAAAUGCGUAGAUAUCACGAAGAACCCCGAUGGCGAAGGCAGCUUACUAAACUGUGACUGACACUGAUGCUCGAAAGUGUGGGGAUCAAACAGGAUUAGAUACCCUUGUAGUC
rnacentral:rRNA from 1 species